UUGUGUUAGGUUCAGGUUAUAUAUGGACCCAACCUGAACCGAAUGACCCGUUGGAUCAAAAAUUGUAGCUGUGGACCUGAACCGACCCGACCCGAUCUUCUAUUGAGUUGGGUUUGGGUCCAAAAUUAGGACCCGACUAAGAAAUUUGGUUGGGUCGGGGUCACUCAUGACCCGGUCCGACUCGACCCAUUUGCACCCCUAGAGAUGAACUCUAGGUAGGAGUCCUUUUCUUUCCUAGCUCAUGUGCGUGCCACAUGAGCCCAGCUCAGGAUAGGUUGGUGAGCCCAAUUCAAGUGCGGGCCGGUAAUAGACCGGGCCCUUACAUAUGCAUGACAUGAGUUUUCUUGAACUAGGGCUUCUCGACCAUCCUGGUAUGUUCCAAUUGUCCUGGUUGCACCCUAACACUCGAGAUAUACUAGGAUGUUGGAGAUAGACUGGGUUACAAUUUUUUAUUUUUCUUCUUUGUUAUUGGUCAUUUCAGUAUGUCCAGACUGUACCUUCCCAACUUGGUAUUAUGCAUUUAUACUAUCCUAGAAGCAAACUGGGAUGGGGCCUGUUAUGGUGAUUUAAACCCUUGGUAGAGAGUAGAGACUCUUGGACAUUUGGGGGGCUAAGUAUUGCUUCAUAUAAAAAAUAGAAGAAUCAUCACAAAAGAUGAAAUCAAAUUUCCAAUUUGAUUGCAUAUUAACAUCUGGCUUAUGUACUAGGCGCUAGAAAAAAUUUUUGAAUCUCCAAUUAAUUUUCAAUAGCCCUGCUUUAAAUUAUUAUUGUUGAAACAACAGAAAUGCCCAAUCCUUCCCUUAAGCCUAUCGGUCAGGGCCUAAUGUCUUUCAUCGUGGAAGGGGCAAUGCUUUUCAAUCUGGUAUCCUUGUAAGCCUUCGAAGCUGUCCAUUCUGCUAUCAGUGAAUGUGCUAUUCUUAAACUUUCUUUUAUUAUUAUUCUUUCAUUUAGUAAGUCAUACUCACGUCAA
rnacentral:lncRNA from 1 species